GGAGGUAUAGCUCAGUUGGUUAGAGCACUCGCUUCACAUGCGAGGGGUCGUAGGUUCAAGUCCUACUAUCUCUACCA
rnacentral:tRNA from 1 species